AUAUGUGAUCGUCUCUCGCAUAUCAAUAAGCGGAGGAAAAGAAACUAACUAGGAUUCCCCUAGUAACGGCGAGUGAAGCGGGAAGAGCUCAAAUUUGAAAUCUUAAAGGGUUUCCCUUUACGAAUUGUAGUUUAAAGAAGUGUUUUCUGUUGAGGUUUUGGUAAAAGUUCUUUGGAAUAGGACAUCAUAGAGGGUGAGAAUCCCGUAUUUGACCUUUACUUUCAACUUUGUGAUACACUUUCAAAGAGUCGGAUUGUUUGGGAAUGCAGUCCAAAAUGGGUGGUAAAUUUCAUCUAAAGCUAAAUAUUGGCGAGAGACCGAUAGCGAACAAGUACCGUGAGGGAAAGAUGAAAAGAACUUUGAAAAGAGAGUUAAACAGUACGUGAAAUUGUCAAAAGGGAAGCGUUUGACACCAGUGUUGUUUUUCUGAAAAUCAAUUAAAGAACUGUUUAUGCUAAGUUGUUUAGACUUUAUCAGCUAUCUGCUUAGUUUUGAGCUUUUCUUUAAUGCACUUUUCAGUUAACAAGUCAACAUCAAUUUCUUUUGCUGUAAAAAAGCUUGAGGAAGGUGGCUUGAGAUUCGUCUUAAGUGUUUAUAGCCUCUUGCCUAUGCAGUCGGAGAGAUUGAGGUCUGCAGCGUAGAUCCUUCGGGGCUAAAUGCAUUUGUGCUAAGUUAUAGCAUUUUAUAGACAACUUGUUGACUAUGAUUUGUCUUGUAGCUUACUCGCUUAUGUUAUUUUACCUACGCUUAGGAUGUUGAACGCGCACAGAGUCUC
rnacentral:rRNA from 1 species